GAUUAGCUAGUUGGUGGGGUAAAGGCCUACCAAGGCGACGAUCAGUAGCGGGUCUGAGAGGAUGAUUCGCCACACUGGGACUGAGACACGGCCCAGACUCCUACGGGAGGCAGCAGUGGGGAAUUUUGGACAAUGGGGGCAACCCUGAUCCAGCCAUUCCGCGUGAGUGAAGAAGGCCUUCGGGUUGUAAAGCUCUUUCAGCUGGAACGAAACGGUACGCGCUAACAUCGCGUGCUAAUGACGGUACCGGCAGAAGAAGCACCGGCUAACUACGUGCCAGCAGCCGCGGUAAUACGUAGGGUGCGAGCGUUAAUCGGAAUUACUGGGCGUAAAGCGUGCGCAGGCGGAUUGUUAAGCAAGACGUGAAAUCCCCGGGCUUAACCUGGGAAUGGCGUUUUGAACUGGCAGUCUAGAGUGCGUCAGAGGGGGGUGGAAUUCCACGUGUAGCAGUGAAAUGCGUAGAGAUGUGGAGGAACACCGAUGGCGAAGGCAGCCCCCUGGGAUGACACUGACGCUCAUGUACGAAAGCGUGGGUAGCAAACAGGAUUAGAUACCCUGGUAGUCCACGCCCUAAACGAUGUCAACUGGUUGUUGGGGGAGUGAAAUCCCUUAGUAACGAAGCUAACGCGUGAAGUGACCGCCU
rnacentral:rRNA from 1 species